rnacentral:rRNA from 1 species
GAUGAACGCUAGCGGCAGGCUUAAUACAUGCAAGUCGAGGGGCAGCACAGGUAGCAAUACUGGGUGGCGACCGGCAAACGGGUGCGGAACACGUACACAACUUACCUUCUGGUGGGGGAUAGCCUUUGGAAACGGAGAUUAAUACCCCAUAUUAUAUAUGAGCUGCAUGGUUUGUAUAUUAAAGAUUUAUUGCCGGAAGAUGGGUGUGCGUAUGAUUAGGUAGUUGGCGGGGUAACGGCCCACCAAGCCGACGAUCAUUAACUGGUGUGAGACAACGACCAGUCACACGGGCACUGGGACACGGGCCCGACUCCUACGGGAGGCAGCAGUAAGGAAUAUUGGUCAAUGGACGGAAGUCUGAACCAGCCAUGCCGCGUGGAGGAUGAAGGUCCUCUGGAUUGUAAACUUCUUUUAUAGGGGGCGAAAAAAGGGAAUCCUUUCUCGUCUGACGGUACCCUAUGAAUAAGCGCCGGCUAACUCCGUGCCAGCAGCCGCCGUAACAC